rnacentral:rRNA from 1 species
CACGGGGGCAACCCUGGUGGCGAGUGGCGAACGGGUGAKUAAUACAUCGGAACGUGCCCAGUCGUGGGGGAUAACGCASCGAAAGCUGUGCUAAUACCGCAUACGAUCUACGGAUGAAAGCGGGGGACUCGCAAGGGCCUCGCGCGAUUGGAGCGGCCGAUGGCAGAUUAGGUAGUUGGUGGGGUAAAGGCUCACCAAGCCUGCGAUCUGUAGCUGGUCUGAGAGGACGACCAGCCACACUGGGACUGAGACACGGCCCAGACUCCUACGGGAGGCAGCGGUGGGGAAUUUUGGACAAUGGGCGCAAGCCUGAUCCAGCCAUUCCGCGUGCAGGAUGAAGGCCUUCGGGUUGUAAACUGCUUUUGUACGGAACGAAAAGGCUCUGGUGAAUACCUGGGGCUCAUGACGGUACCGUAAGAAUAAGCACCGGCUAACUACGUGCCAGCAGCCGCGGUAAUACGUAGGGUGCGAGCGUUAAUCGGAAUUACUGGGCGUAAAGCGUGCGCAGGCGGUGAUGUAAGACAGAUGUGAAAUCCCCGGGCUCAACCUGGGAACUGCAUUUGUGACUGCAUCGCUGGAGUGCGGCAGAGGGGGAUGGAAUUCCGCG